GACGAGCCGUGCGAACGUUAUUCGGAAUCAUUGGGCUUAAAGGGCGCGUAGGCGGCGGCGUAAGUUGGAAGUGAAAUCCCAUCGGCUCAACCGUGGAAUUGCUCCCAGUACUGCGUCGCUCGAGGGGGAUAGGGGUCUGCGGAACUACCGGUGGAGCGGUGAAAUGUGUUGAUAUCGGUGGGAACGCCAGAGGCGAAAGCGGCAGACUUGACCCUUCCUGACGCUGAGGCGCGAAAGCGUGGGGAGCAAACAGG
rnacentral:rRNA from 1 species